ACUUCACAUCUAAUUAAUGCAUCUUUUAAUUUACUUCCCUUGGCUUGUCUUCCAACUAAUUCAUCUGUUGUUUUAUGAUUUUAUGGGAAGUGCAAGGAGAAGUGCAAAAGCAAUGAAAGCUUGGACCACUAUCAUGCCCAAGGCAUGCAAUUUCUCAGUUACAUUUAAGCAAGUUAUUAGGUGUCAGAUUUCACCUCCAGGGCUCGCCUGCCUGGCUGCUCAAUUUGCUCAUCUUUUUCAGUCAAGUGUAUGAGCAAGAUGUUUUAGGUAGAGCUAUUUGUCAGAUUUUGGUGGUACUAUUGAUGAGUUCCUCUGUACUAGUCCCUUUUCUACUUAUGAUACAGUAUAAAACUCUAAGCUAGUAGGUGCCAGCAACCUCAUUAAAAUAUCAGGUAUUACUAGUGCUAGUACAUCAUCCACUUCUGUUGGGAAUUAAUUUGUGAGAGAUGAAGUAGUUGCUAAGAGUACUUUAUGCCAAACUGAGGUCAGUUCUUUGAGUGUACUCGGAAGCAAGAAAAAUACAUAAGUAACCAUAAACUGAACAUAAAAAGUGAAGCAACCACAGGAUUUGCCAGUUCCUGAGAGCCUGGAGAAAUGUUGUAUCAACUCAAGCAACAACCAGAAUGUCAUGUUUUGGCCCAAUGACACGGGACCAUAGCAAUAAAAAGCCAUGUGAUCUGAAAGACUUAAAAUCCAUCAUCUUCAAGAUCUGCACUGGAUUGUCUGCACCUUGUCAUUCAUUCCAUGGAAUUGAAACCUCUGUAGCUCAACAGUGAGGAAGAGAAGACACUGGAGGAAGAAGCGGAGAGUGAACUGCAUUCAACAGAUGCACAGCUUUCCUAGCAGAAGGAAGAGAAGGAGUCCAGUGGCAAACAGGCAACCUCCUAGGACUUGCAACUACUCCCCAACAGCUGCAAGCCUGUUACAGACUCUGCAGGAGACAAAAAUUCAGGUUACUAAUGUUCAGCAGAUGAAAAACUGAAACAAACACCACUCAGGGGACUUAAUUUCUUUUGCGUGCCAUAUGUAUGGGAGUAAAGAAGAUGGCAUGACUGCCUGCUGUGGACUGUGAAGCUCAGGAGAUGGAAAAGGAAAGAAAAAUCCCAGUGAAGCAAGAAGUACAGAAAGUCAGAAGGAGGAAAACAAGUGAUGGUUGAAACACAGUGACCACAAUGAAUCACCACAUUUCUUACCGUGAUUGAAACUAUUUGCUGUCUGUACGCACAGCUACUCACAAACAGCAGCCUCUACUUCCUUAAAACGUCAAAACAGACCAUUUUACCCAAUUAACUUUGUUGCUUCAGCACCAGCUGCCCAUACUGCUCCCUCUCAGAGGCUAACUCUCAUGGGAGUGACUGGCUGAGACAAACUGCCCCAACUCACAGUUUAAAGCAUUGGGUCCCUAAGUCAUCACUGCAUCAUGUUCUAAUCUGCAACAACCUUACCAGUAGUUCCUAUAAUUCUCCUGUGCAGGUAGCAGUAAGAACCAAGAAACUAACUGACUUGACCAAAAAGAACUGAAACAAUAUUCUCUCCCCACUUAAAGUGCUGCUGUAAACUUUGGUCAGUACAUUAUUCCUUCCUUAGCUGUUUCAGUUGUUAUCUAGAAAAAGAAGGUAGUAUGCUGCCUUCCUUCCCUUAUGCUAUUUUAGGAACAGCUACUGCCAGCAGUUUAGUUUCCUUGUGGGAAGGAAUGUAAAACAUCUAUUUAUUUCAGAGAUUGGCUUUUGAGUGGGAAUAUUGGGCUAUAAGAGAAAUGAUUCAAGAUGAUAAGCCUGUGUGUGCAUAUUUUUGGCAUCUUAAUAAAUUACCGAUUUGAGAGAGAGAGAAUGGAGCUUUCAUGUAUAGAACAUCGUGUUUCAUAAUGCAUUCCAUAGGUGCUGUUCCUCUGUACUAAAUAAGGCCUUUUAGCUCUUGUCUUGUGUUUCUUUGACAAGAAAACAGCACUGUUCACUGCUUCACUAAUUUACUGAGAAAGGGUGUACUGCAAAAGUGCAUCUCCUUUUGCUUGUUAAUGUUGCUUUCUACAGUUCUCUGAGGUUCUAGGAAUGGCAAGAAGUUACUUCAUUAAACGUCCUUUUUGCUUAAGUAGACACCCUUGUCUGGUGCCUACUGCGGCUGACCAAAAUUAUAUGAUGGAUCAUUUGGCAUCACCAGAACAACAAAAAAAAGUGGUGGGAUUUUAGUAACAAGGCAAACACAGCAGGCUGGCUGCCCAGUAAGUGUAAGUGACCCUAUUGUUUUGUUCCAGUUUAUUACUGAUGUGCUAACAGACAUCGGCCUCUCAUGCACAGAUUGCUCAGGUGUAAACUGGAUCAGUUAGUAAUUUUUUUGAACCUGCAUGCUCGGUCAUGCUUCAUAUACAUGAAAGACCUUUCCAUGAUUAGGUAUCAUAGUGGAGCUUAUGCCAAAAUGAGUUAAUUUUUCCGGUCAGUCUUGUUCUCACAUGGCCACUGGUCCGUACUAAACUUUUUGCCCAGGAAAAUGGUGAUAGCAUAGGACCACAAACUGGAAUAUAAAUCAGGCUUGCUUUUUAUUUUUGUCUACAAAAAGAUGAUAAGAUGUUAUUAAUUUUAAAAAGUUUCCCGCUUCAUCAUCUUCAGGUAGCUGUUGCUAAAGCAAUGACUUGUUUCCCCAGCUGACCCACACCUUUCUUACAACACAGGGGCUGUUUCUUAUCAGCAAA